rnacentral:rRNA from 1 species
CCUACGGGAGGCUGCAGUGGGGAAUAUUGGACAAUGGGCGAAAGCCUGAUCCAGCCAUGCCGCGUGUGUGAAGAAGGCCUUCGGGUUGUAAAGCACUUUCAGUGGGGAAGAAAGCCUUGGGGCUAAUACCCUCGAGGAAGGACAUCACCCACAGAAGAAGCACCGGCUAACUCCGUGCCAGCAGCCGCGGUAAUACGGAGGGUGCGAGCGUUAAUCGGAAUUACUGGGCGUAAAGCGCGCGUAGGCGGUCUGAUAAGCCGGUUGUGAAAGCCCCGGGCUCAACCUGGGAACGGCAUCCGGAACUGUCAGGCUAGAGUGCAGGAGAGGAAGGUAGAAUUCCCGGUGUAGCGGUGAAAUGCGUAGAGAUCGGGAGGAAUACCAGUGGCGAAGGCGGCCUUCUGGACUGACACUGACGCUGAGGUGCGAAAGCGUGGGUAGCAAACAGGAUUAGCUACCCGAGUAGUC